CUCUGAGCACUUGGCAGAGCGGGACUGGAGCGAGAGAGAAAGCAGACGUUCCAACAUUUUUUCAAUCCGCUCCACGCUCCAGCCAAAUUCUGCUCCUCUCCAGCUCCACUACUCCACUCACAUCCUCUGAUUCACAUGGCACCAACGGAAACCCUUGUUUUUGUCUUCUGUUGCAAAAUCUUUUGCUAUGUAUUAAUGAACUGUCUUCAUCUGGUGUUCUACCUGGUUUCACCUGGUAUUUUGCUUGGUAUUUCACAUGGUGUUGUACCAGGUAAGCGUGAUCGGUAUCCUGACUACAGUGAGGGCAGCGCGGCUGGAGCGGAGAGCAGACGGUACUCUAACGACUCCACCAAGUCAGUUAAUGAGAUAAAUGUUGCUGUGGAAUGUGGAAGCUGCUG
rnacentral:lncRNA from 13 species